AUUGAACGCUGGCGGCAUGCUUUACACAUGCAAGUCGGACGAGUGGCGAACGGGUGAGUAACGCAUCGGAACGUACCGAGUAAUGGGGGAUAACUGUCCGAAAGGACAGCUAAUACCGCAUAUUAUUCGAGCGGCCGAUGUCUGAUUAGCUGGUUGGCGGGGUAAAGGCCCACCAAGGCGACGAUCAGUAGCGGGUCUGAGAGGAUGAUCCGCCACACUGGGACUGAGACACGGCCCAGACUCCUACGGGAGGCAGCAGUGGGGAAUUUUGGACAAUGGGCGCAAGCCUGAUCCAGCCAUGCCGCGUGUCUGAAGAAGGCCUUCGGGUUGUAAAGCUCUGUUAAUCGGGACGCGGUACCGGAAUAGAAAGCCACGGCUAACUACGUGCCAGCAGCCGCGGUAAUUC
rnacentral:rRNA from 1 species